ensembl:lncRNA
GGGAAAGACAAAACUGCUGCAUCAGAUGCCCUGACUCACCAGGAGGAAAUUUCCCCUAGUUUGGGGUUAAAGGGAACAGCAAAGGAGCUGUGGGGCCAUGGCUGAGCUUUUGAUCUGGGAUCUGAAACGUGCUGCUGGUUGCUGAAGGUUUGGACCCAGCAGGCUGAACACCUUCCCCACGGGGCUGGCUGUCCCCAGAGCUCCUCUGGCCGUCACACUGCUCUGCUGCUGACAUGGGAAUGCGUUGGGAUCCAUGCUUUAAGUGUCAUUCCAGUGUUAGGAGGGAAGAGUUGUGGACAGUAGGCAGCGAGCCAUGGCAUGGUGCUUUCCAGGAGCAAAGCGCUCGGUCCAGGACUGCAGACCCAUUGACAGCAGCUGGGAACACAAUUGGGUUUUGCUGUGCUCGGCUGCUGCCCUUCAUCCUCCCAGACUUCACCUUUCUGCCCAGGGAGGCUGUGAGAGGGCUGACAAAGGAGGCCAAAACUCGGUGUAUUGCCUCGGAGCUGGGACCUGGAGGCUGGGGAUGCAGCUGCUCCAUCAUCACACUGCUGGAAAUGGGACUUUCAGACAUCUUGAAAUCAUUUUCCUUUAAAAAACAUAUAUAUAUACUAAGCUUGAAUUCACGUAUCACAGAGGCAAACAAGCAUUUGCAGGGCAAGAGGGAAACUGCAUGUGAUCUGAAGCCUCAUCUCAAUCUCAGUGACUUUGCAUUAAUUACAUGCCUGUGUUUUCCUGAAGCACGGUCUGAGGUUAGCUGUAAUAUCCUGCAGACAAACAUCCCCCUCUCCUCGUAUCUACAGAGAGCGGUAGCUCUGGACUACGUAUUUAUGGACAAACUGAGCUAUAAAUUGGGCAUUUCUGCCACACGCAUUCCCUUAAGGGCCAGUAAGACUGCACACAUCAGCUAAGUAAUAUUUUACUGGGGUUUUCUUUAAUGACUUCAAGAGUGCUUGUUCUUUCCCCCAACCAGCAGUGCGUGAUUAACGUAAGUCUACAAUUAAUCCUGAAUUACUCAUACAGUGGACUCCAUUUUCCUUUGCAUUCAGGACAAGUUUUAAAAAGUUAUUGCUUUCCCCCUCCUUUCUUUCUCUCUCUCUCUCUCUCUUUUUUUUUUUUUUUUUUUUAAGACUUCUUUAAUCAGACUUAAAUGGAGCUUAAAAGUACUGGAAACGUCUGGUUUUCUUUCAUUCUCAGCCUGUUCAAAAUCAAGCUAAUGGCAAAGGACAAGAAAACUGCAUUGCAUCCACAAGCUGAGCAAAGGGACGCAGGGGAGGGGGACUUCUCUGCUCAGUGCUGAUGCUUGCACAGGGAUGGGAAUUUGUAAGAAGCUGUGUUGGAUCUCUCUG